GCGAGCAUGCUGGAAUUGGUAGACAGGCACGUCUCAGAAGCGUGUGCCUUAUGGCGUAUGAGUUCAAAUCUCAUUGUUCGCA
rnacentral:tRNA from 1 species